rnacentral:tRNA from 1 species
GGAAGUUUGGGUGAGUGGCUUAAACCAGCAGUUUGCUAAACUGCCGUACCGGUUUCGGUACCAGGAGUUCGAAUCUCCUAGCUUCCG